rnacentral:rRNA from 1 species
GCAACUAUGAGCCGGACGCCGGGGGGAGUCGUAGGGGGCUAGUGUUGUCCGGGUUAACUGGGGGUAAAGAGCUCGUAGGCGGGUUGCCAAGUGAGAAGUGAAAUCUCCAGGCUGAACCUGGAGCGGCCUUUUAAAACUGGUAUGACUUGAGUAUGGUAGAGGAGUGUGGAAUUCCCGGUGUAGCGGUGAAAUGCGCAGAUAUCGGGAGGAACACCUAUGGCGAAGGCAGCACUCUGGACCAAAACUGACGCUGAGGAGCGAAAGCGUGGGGAGCGAACAGGAUUAGAUACCCGAGUAGUC